CAGACAAGGUUAUACAUUCAU
rnacentral:sRNA from 1 species